CUCAUGAUGAACGCUAGCUACAGGCUUAACACAUGCAAGUCGAGGGGCAGCAUUUCAGUUUGCUUGCAAACUGGAGAUGGCGACCGGCGCACGGGUGAGUAACACGUAUCCAACCUGCCGAUAACUCGGGGAUAGCCUUUCGAAAGAAAGAUUAAUACCCGAUGGCAUAAUUAGACCGCAUGGUCUUAUUAUUAAAGAAUUUCGGUUAUCGAUGGGGAUGCGUUCCAUUAGGCAGUUGGUGAGGUAACGGCUCACCAAACCUUCGAUGGAUAGGGGUUCUGAGAGGAAGGUCCCCCACAUUGGAACUGAGACACGGUCCAAACUCCUACGGGUGGCAGCAGUGAGGAAUAUUGGUCAAUGGACGAGAGUCUGAACCAGCCAAGUAGCGUGAAGGAUGACUGCCCUAUGGGUUGUAAACUUCUUUUAUAUGGGAAUAAAGUUUUCCACGUGUGGAAUUUUGUAUGUACCAUAUGAAUAAGGAUCGGCUAACUCCGUGCCAGCAGCCGCGGUAAUACGGAGGAUCCGAGCGUUAUCCGGAUUUAUUGGGUUUAAAGGGAGCGUAGGUGGACAGUUAAGUCAGUUGUGAAAGUUUGCGGCUCAACCGCAAAAUUGCAGUUGAUACUGGCUGUCUUGAGUACAGUAGAGGUGGGCGGAAUUCGUGGUGUAGCGGUGAAAUGCUUAGAUAUCACGAAGAACUCCGAUUGCGAAGGCAGCUCACUGGACUGCAACUGACACUGAUGCUCGAAAGUGUGGGUAUCAAACAGGAUUAGAUACCCUGGUAGUCCACACAGUAAACGAUGAAUACUCGCUGUUUGCGAUAUACAGUAAGCGGCCAAGCGAAAGCAUUAAGUAUCCCACCUGGGGAGUACGCCGGCAACGGUGAAACUCAAAGGAAUUGACGGGGGCCCGCACAAGCGGAGGAACAUGUGGUUUAAUUCGAUGAUACGCGAGGAACCUUACCCGGGCUUAAAUUGCAUUUGAAUAAUCUGGAAACAGGUUAGCCGCAAGGCAAAUGUGAAGGUGCUGCAUGGUUGUCGUCAGCUCGUGCCGUGAGGUGUCGGCUUAAGUGCCAUAACGAGCGCAACCCUUAUCUUUAGUUACUAACAGGUCAUGCUGAGGACUCUAGAGAGACUGCCGUCGUAAGAUGUGAGGAAGGUGGGGAUGACGUCAAAUCAGCACGGCCCUUACGUCCGGGGCUACACACGUGUUACAAUGGGGGGUACAGAAGGCAGCUACCUGGUGACAGGAUGCUAAUCCCAAAAGCCUCUCUCAGUUCGGAUCGAAGUCUGCAACCCGACUUCGUGAAGCUGGAUUCGCUAGUAAUCGCGCAUCAGCCAUGGCGCGGUGAAUACGUUCCCGGGCCUUGUACACACCGCCCGUCAAGCCAUGAAAGCCGGGGGUACAUGAAGUACGUAACCGCAAGGAGCGUCCUAGGGUAAAACUGGUA
rnacentral:rRNA from 1 species